GUAGGUGAACCUGCGGAAGGAUCAUUAAUGAAUUUAUAAUCCGGCGAGACGAAGGACGAGGACUGUCGCUGGCCUUCAACCGAGGCAUGUGCACGCUCUCUUCUGGACUUUCGCCGUAUGGGCGCGGGGCGACCCGCGUCUUCAUAUACCUCUUCGUGUAGAAAGUCUUCGAAUGUUUUUACCAUCAUCGAGUCGCGACUUCUAGGAGACGCGAUUCUUUGAGACAAAAGUUAUCACAACUUUCAGCAAUGGAUCUCUUGGCUCUCGCAUCGAUGAAGAACGCAGCGAAUCGCGAUAUGUAAUGUGAAUUGCAGAUCUACAGUGAAUCAUCGAAUCUUUGAACGCACCUUGCGCUCCUCGGUGUUCCGAGGAGCAUGCCUGUUUGAGCGUCAGUAAAUUCUCAACCCCUCUCGAUUUGCUUCGAGUGGGGCUUGGAUAGUGGGGGCUGCCGGAGACCUGAAAUUCAUUUCGGGACUCGGGCUCCUCUGAAAUGCAUCGGCUUGCGGUCGACUUUCGACUUUGCGCGACAAAGCUUUCGGCGUGAUAAUGAUCGCCGUUCGCUGAAGCGCAUCAAUGAACGGUCCCGUGCCUCUAAUCAGUCGACGCCUUCCGGGCGUCUUCCUUAUAGACGUUGACCUCA
rnacentral:rRNA from 1 species